CCGUGCUAGAUGGGGAGUUAGCGGUGCCCUGUAACCUGCAAUCCGCUGUAGCAGGGUUGAAUUCCUCAUUGAGGCUUUAAACCUGUAGGAUCUGGCUUGUGUAAGUGGUGUUGAUAAUUGGGUCCCACGCAACGAAAAUCUAUGAACCCCGUCAGGUCCGGAAGGAAGCAGCGGUAAGUAGACAAUUUCGUGUGCCGUGGAAUAGCCUGAUUUGAGCUAACUGCACAAGUAACGCUUAUAGGUUUUUAGACGAUUUGAGGUGCACGG
rnacentral:SRP_RNA from 1 species